CACGUAGGGUGCGAGCGUUGUCCGGAAUUAUUGGGCGUAAAGAGCUCGUAGGCGGCCUGUUGCGUCCGCUGUGAAAGCCCGGGGCUUAACCCCGGGUCGGCAGUGGAUACGGGCAGGCUAGAGGUAGGUAGGGGAGAAUGGAAUUCCCGGUGUAGCGGUGAAAUGCGCAGAUAUCGGGAGGAACACCGGUGGCGAAGGCGGUUCUCUGGGCCUUACCUGACGCUGAGGAGCGAAAGCGUGGGGAGCGAACAGG
rnacentral:rRNA from 1 species